UCACACCACACUCUGAGACAGGAAGCAGAAGUUAGCUUCUCGGGCUCUCCUCUCUCAUCAGGAACAGAAUGUGUUUCCCAGGAGCCCCUUAGUCGACUUUCCCUUAAGUCUCCCUGGCCAGACGCAGCGGCAUGGUCAACUCUAGUUACGGCGCCGCACUGACUUCUGGGGCCUCUACGGUGGGAGGCGGGCAAGGAGAGCGGUGGGAAGGCCCGGCCCCCUGCCCGGAGACAGACUAAGUAACGCGCGCAUGCUCCGUGCCGGAGGAGCGGGUGGCCUCGGUGCGCGCUCCCGCGUCCACCGGGCCUGGACCACCGUUCAGCGAGGCCUAGCCGGGCCUUCCAGCAGUCAGACAGGCAGCACGUGUUACGGAGCGCCCCAUCCACUCGCCGUGCGCCCCGGCGGCGCAGAGAUGUCCGGGCAGCCACGCCCGGCCUCAGGGACCACACAGGCGGGAUGGCCGGCAACGACAGGGGCAGGGCAAAGUCGAGCGACGACGCACGGCCGCCGCAGGAGCCCUGCGGGCACCGGGCAGGCUGCGCCGGCUGGUGCGCGAGUCCGGGCCGGAGGGAGGCGGGGCCGAGCGGGCAGAACCGUCCGAGGCCCAGACGCGGGGCGCAGGUUCGGGCCCGGCGGCGGCAGGGCCGGACUCACCGGCGUCGGAGCCACCACUACACAGACUAAUUCCAUUCGGAAACAACACUGUGAGGCCCAAACACACCUAGCUCUGCAAUCUGGAUCCAGCUGGAGGGAGCCCGGUUUGCCACCCCUGCUGGAGGCUCCAAGCAGGGGUCCUAGGCAGCAGGCUGCAGCUGAAGACACUACAUAACCCAGCGCAGUGCUAAGGACAGCAGGAGCAAGCUGGCCGCCUUCACUCCCGAACAUAAAUCCUCGUGCAGACCACGUCAUCGGCGCCGAACGUCUGCAGAGAAGGAAAAACAAUCAGAGCAGAUGCCUGUGCAAAUAUGUUUAAAACAUAUCACUAAUAAGGCCACUUACUGCCCUGUUAAAAACCCUUUGUAACCGACGUUCAAUUUCCUGUGCCACAUGCUCACACUAACUGCUAAAGUCUUUUUUUCUUCUUCUUUUUUUCUCCCUUAAGCUCCAUACAGGCAGAGAGCAACUGGGGUGUAGAAUUAUAUGCAAUUUUCCUUUGUUUCUGGAUCCCAUGAAUGCUGACAGGGGAAAUGCUUGGUUUGAAAAAUUAAACUGAA